rnacentral:misc_RNA from 1 species
UGAAAAGCGAACUCACCA